rnacentral:piRNA from 1 species
AGGACUGGAACUCAGGUCAGAAAGCAG